UGAAUUGAAUAGUUCAUACCGUAGACAGUAGGUGCACGCCAGUGCUUAAUCUCCUACCGAGGUUUGUUAAAAGUUGAUCUAAUCACUAUAACAAUUACCUCUGUGUGUCUAAACAUGGAGGUUUUUUAUAUGAAGGG
rfam:Anaerobacillus arseniciselenatis strain DSM 15340 Ga0137926_101, whole genome shotgun sequence.